rnacentral:rRNA from 1 species
UACGAAGGGUGCAAACGUUGCUCGGAAUUUCUGGGCGUAAAGAGCGCGCAGGCGGUCGAUCAAGUCGCGUGUGAAAGCCCCCGGCUCAACUGGGGAGGGUCACGCGAUACUGAUCGACUCGAAGGCAGGAGAGGGUAGUGGAAUUCCCGGUGUAGUGGUGAAAUGCGUAGAUAUCGGGAGGAACACCAGUGGCGAAGGCGACUACCUGGCCUGUUCUUGACGCUGAGGCGCGAAAGCUAGGGGAGCAAACGGG